rnacentral:lncRNA from 1 species
UUCUAUUUUUUUCUUCCUCUUAUCCUUCUAUUUUUUUAAUUCCUUUUUUUUUUCUUUUCUAUUUUCUUUUUCUAUUUUUUUAUUUUUCUGCCAACUUCUGAAAUAUUACAAACAUAAUUAUUCAACCCCACACAACUCCAAACAAGACUCUUUCAACCCUUUGAAUAUGGUGAUAACAUUGUUUUCACUUCUCGGCUUGUAAUGAGUUUUAAACAAAACAGGGAGAAUAGGCUCAAGGGGGUUUCAAACAAGGGAUGAAAUUAUUUCGGGGUUGACUUUUUGGCUAACUGGCUAAAAAAAUGCAUUUAUCAUAUCAGUGUGCACAAGUAAAC